GCCCUUGAAUUAAUCAAAGGUGCAACCUGCCCAAUGGUUUUUAAUUUAAUGAAAGGGAAUCUUUCAGAAUAAAACUUAAAGGACGCAGUAUCUUGACUGUGGUAAUGUAGCAUAAUCACUCGCCAUUUAAUUGAUGGAUAGUAUGAAUGGUUUAACGAAUAUUACACUGUCUCAAAUAAAAAUCAUAUGAAAAUAAAAUAAUAGUAAAGAUGCUAUUUAAAACUGUAAGACGAAAAGACCCUAUAGAGCUUAACUACAUUUUUUCUUAAGAAAAAUAAAAUACACACUUUGUAAAAAGAAAGAAAGGUAGUUUAGUUGGGGCGACUAUCUUCUAUAAAAAACGAAGAGAAGCAACGUUAAUGUUUAACUUAUUGUUUAAUGUAUAAAUUUAACAAUUAUUAAAGUAGGCCAUAAUGACCCAUUAAAUCUAAAAAGUAAGUUUAAUGAUCAAUAGAUAAAAGCUACCUUAGGGAUAACAGGAUAAUUUUGUUUUAGAGAUCAUAUCAAAAACCAAGUUUGUCACCUCUAUGUUGAAUUAAGAUAACCUGAUCGUGCAGAAGCUAUCGAAGGUGGGUCUGUUCGACCCUUAAAAUCUU
rnacentral:rRNA from 1 species